CAUUAGGCUCCGCCUCCAUCUCAGGUGAAGUUCUGACUCAUUCCAUGAAGCAGCUCACCUGUAUCUCAGUCCAAGUCCACACAUCAAGUGUCUUCAACACUUUCUGAAGUUCUAACAAACUGUAGAACAGACUGGUUUUGCUCCUCUUCCUCCUCACGCCUCCAGAUCAGGUGAAACUGUUAGAGGUUGUUGUUCAUAGAGGUUGAGCAUCUUCAGCCUUUUGGACACUUUAACCAAUCUGCUCCGCCUCCAUCUCAGGUGAAGUUCUGACUCAUUCCAUGAAGCAGCUCACCUGUAUCUCAGUCCAAGUCCACACAUCAAGUGUCUUCAACACUUUCUG